rnacentral:rRNA from 1 species
GACGAACGCUGGCGGCGUGCUUAACACAUGCAAGUCGAACGGAAAGGCCCAGCUUGCUGGGUGCUCGAGUGGCGAACGGGUGAGUAACACGUGGGUGAUCUGCCUCUAACUUCGGGAUAAGCUUGGGAAACUGGGUCUAAUACCGGAUAGGACAAUCGUUUAGUGUCGGUUGUGGAAAGUUUUUUCGGUUAGGGAUGAGCCCGCGGCCUAUCAGCUUGUUGGUGGGGUAAUGGCCUACCAAGGCGUCGACGGGUAGCCGGCCUGAGAGGGUGGACGGCCACAUUGGGACUGAGAUACGGCCCAGACUCCUGCGGGAGGCAGCAGCGGGGAAUAUUGCACAAUGGGCGCAAGCCUGAUGCAGCGACGCCGCGUGGGGGAUGACGGCCUUCGGGUUGUAAACCUCUUUCGACAGGGACGAAGCUUUGGUGACGGUACCUGUAGAAGAAGCACCGGCUAACUACGUG